GGUGCCCCGUCGAUGAGUGUGAGCCCAGGUUCAGGAACGAAGAGGUAAGACUGAUACUGUUAGAGCGGUAGGCCCACAAGGGGUUUUAUAUUUGGAACCGGUUAUUGGAUUGCCCCCUCCCUCUGGAGGGAAUAAGUGAAGGCGCACCGCUUAUCUGGAAAUAAGACGCUCUGUAGUCAGCCUGUCUAAUAUAGGUGGUCAGGCUAAAUCUUGGUGUAAAUAGUUUAUGCUGGAC